ensembl:lncRNA
AAAGUACUGUCUAGGGAAUUUUACAAUUGUGAUACCAUACUGCAGACUUAGAAUGACACUUUGAAGUUAAAAAAAACUGAAAUACUGUUACAAUUUCUAGUCUUCAAGCAAAAUCUUCCAAAACAAUGCAUGUAUCAAAACAAAUUUGUUUUUCCUAAGGUCUUUUUUUUUGUCAUGUUUUAGAUGCCCUGUCCAACUUAAUAAUGUGGUUGUCCAGCCGUCAAGAAGAGAAGGUGAAAUGGACAAUGUUCACACACCAGUCCAAAUGGUGUUGCUUGAGUGCCAUAGAUUACCCCUACAACCCCACCAUAAUGGCAACCGUUCAAGACCAAACAAUUAGCCAGAUUCUGGAAAUGGAUACGGAAUACCACAGAGUUAAUAUCACCGUCAAAAUCAUCCAGAUGGAAAGUGAAGGUCAUGCCUUUCUCCAGGAUGAUGUCUUGCUGGGAAAAAACAGUCUACACCAUAGCGGACACCAGGGGAAUCAUGGAGCUUACUGUCUGGGGAGUAGAACGCAACCUCCAGCUGGACUCCUGGUUUUACAUCACCAAUAUGUCAUUACGGGUGUUCAGAUGUACAAAAUUCCUGUUAACGACAAAAGACACAAAAUUUACAGCCACCACAUGCACUGACCCCACAUUUCCACUACAGCCCACCACAUCUGAACAUGUAACUGGAAACAUCAUUGGCGCCAAAUUCGGCAUCAUUUACAUUUGUCCACUUAAGCACAAACUAAAUCACAUGGCACUUUCCUGCACCAGAGUCCUCUGGGAAAAAUGUGAUAUAUUUUACAGAGCCGACGCCAUUACACUACACACACGCUAAACUUAAAAUAAGAACAACCUCUGAUGACAUCAAAUCCGUUAAGGUCGAAAACCACAUUCUCAGAUCCACAAUUCAAAUUUCCAAAACCGCCAUGACAGACACCAUAAUGCACUCUCUUUUAGACCUCCCCACAAUGAAUAUGACCAUACACAACCACUACAUCACCCACCUGGCAUAUCUGGAACAAUCACAUACAGACACCCCACAACCCAGCACUCCACUCAUGUACUUCUCACAGUCUACACAAUCUGCACCUCCAAGUGAUGAUCUAGCCGAACUCAACCUUUUUAUGGCGGAGUCUCCUAUGGACAGUCAGCCGAAAGUAAACGGGCCAACUUCCCAAUCUCCCACCUCUGUUGCAGAUACCCCAAAUAAGUAAUGUAUUAUGUUAUUUUUAAAUUGCAACCUGUUUAUUUAUUUAUUUAUUUAUUUUUUGUGGAAAUGUGCUUUGUUUAAAUUUCAAUCCCGUGAGCACUUGAAGUAGCUUGCGGUUUUUUUUUAUCCUCCCUGAUUUAAAUUGACUCUGUAAAUAUUGAAGAUGCAAGAUGUUGUAUGCAUUUUCAGCUUUUAUUUUCAGUCUUUGACUAUGGGGACCUGUGUUAUUUCUGACUACUGUGAAUAAAGA